GACGAACGCUGGCGGCGUGCUUAACACGUGCAAGUCGAACGAUGAAGCCGGAGCUUGCUCCGGUGGAUUAGUGGCGAACGGGUGAGUAACACGUGAGCAAUCUGCCCUUGACUCUGGGAUAACUGCGGGAAACUGUAGCUAAUACCGGAUACGACACCUUGGGGCAUCCCAGGGUGUGGAAAGAAUUUCGGUCAAGGAUGAGCUCGCGGCCUAUCAGCUAGUUGGUGAGGUAAUGGCUCACCAAGGCGACGACGGGUAGCCGGCCUGAGAGGGUGACCGGCCACACUGGAACUGAGACACGGUCCAGACUCCUACGGGAGGCAGCAGCGGGGAAUAUUGCACAAUGGGCGAAAGCCUGAUGCAGCAACGCCGCGUGAGGGAUGAAGGCCUUCGGGUUGUAAACCUCUUUUAGCAGGGAAGAAGCGAAAGUGACGGUACCUGCAGAAAAAGCACCGGCUAACUACGUGCCAGCCGCCGCAGUAA
rnacentral:rRNA from 1 species